rnacentral:lncRNA from 1 species
GCUGCUGUUAUAGUUGACUCAUCGAGUAGUGAAAUUAUAGCCAAGGCUACUGAUCAAACUGGCCUACCUCCUACAUCCUUGCUUAAAAUCUGCUCAAAUCAUCUAACUGUUGCUGGAGAAGCACAUUCAGCUUCUUCGAUGGCUGAGGAAAAUAGGUUAGCAAAACAAGAAGUGCUUUGCCCUCUAAGGAACUGGCUUUCUCAUUGCACUCAUUCAUUGAAGGGAGUUGCUUGUCUUAAUCCUCGAGGUUGGAUUGAACAGAGGCCAUACGAUCAAAAAUUGGUGAACUAUGGGAGCAACUUUUCGUGGCAUCCCUUGAGGCAUGCUACUCUAGUUGCGAUUGAAAAUGCUGCAGCAAGGGAUAGGAAGCUAUUUCCUAACUUAGGUUCUUUGGUGAAUAACAGAGACUUAAAUGGUGGUUUGGAGAAUGAUUCUAAUAAUGGUCCAGCAAAACGACUGAAGACAGACAAGUUAGAAGUAAGACUAUCCCUUCACUUUUGUAAUAAUGUAUUCAUUUCAUUAUUCAUAACUGGAGCAGAUAUUUACGAAACAAAUGUAAUGCAUUGAUUCUAGUAAUCAUCAACUGAACUCUAAUUAAAUUUGAUUGCUUUUUAUUUUAUAAAAUGGAUAUGGCAUCUAUUUACUUCAUUUCAAUUUCAUUUUUAGGAUAGGGGCAGGUUGGGAGAGGAAGCUUGUAGCAGUGAUUCUUCCUCUGAAGCAAUGCGGCCUUAUCUAUGCACUGGCUUUGAUAUUUACCUUGUUUGGGAGCCAUGUACAAUGUAAGUUCCCUAUUAUCUCUUUGGAUAUGUAUGCACAACUCCUAGUCUCCACAAUGCAGGUCCAUGAUGUUCCGUUUAGUCUCUAUGUUGUAUUUUUUCCUAUUUUGAAACUUCUCAUAGUUACAAACAAAUGGCAGUAGUUGGAGAAUAUCUCGCACAAUUUUUGAUGUUGUUGGAGUAUCUUCUUUGUUCUCUUUCUGCAAAUGUUUUGCUUACUCUUAAGCAGCAUCCCUAUUUGUAGCUACACAUUUUUGACUUGCAUUUUGUCUCAAUUUGUAUUUUUUUUAAUAUUAUAUUUGUUGAAAUGAAGGUGUGCCAUGGCGCUUGUUCACCAAAGGAUCCGGCGCGUCUUCUACGCCUCCCCGAAUCCGAAUGGCGGCGCAUUGGACAGUGUCCACAGACUACAUGGAGAGAAAAGCUUGAAUCACCAUUACUCAGUUUACAGGAUUUUGAUACCUGAAAAUGCUCUCCAUGAGUUGUGUUUUAAUGAACCAUGUAAUAACUCCUCACCACAACAACAAAUGUGAGCACGCAAAAUUACUCUUGGGUUGUAUUCUUUUCAAUUAUAAUUCAUCUCUCUAAUGUGUAUAACUAUUUAGAUGUUCCUUAAUGACUAAUUGCUUAUUUUACUGAGACUAUGUUUCUUCUUUAUUUGAUAAUUGAAUAUUGAAUAUGAAAAAAGCUGCAAAUGAUUGAGGACCUGUUUGAUGUUGAGGGCAAUCCAAUGCUAAUAGAUAGAGUGAAGUUGUAAAAAAAUAAUAUAGAGAUAUGUUUUUGUAUUUUUCGAUAAAAUUAUAGAAGGUCUAAUCGACUCAUUAUAUUAUAUAAUAAUAAUAAUAUGUUCUUUCUUUUUUUUUUACAUUAAAGGAGGGUUUGGGGGGCCUAUAGGGUGACAGGUGUCUCCCCUCCCCCCUCCUCCUUUACUCUCUCUCCCUAUAUAUAUAUAUAUAUAUAUAUAUAUAUAUAUAUAGAGUUGAGCUAGAAUNCUUCUCUCAUCUUCUAUAAACCCACAAAGAAGACCUCUCCGCGUGCACCCGUGCACAAGGUGCACUAAAAUAACUCUCUCUCUCUUUUUUUCUCUCUGGUACGACACCCUAAUGGUUCCAGCCGUACUACUCAAGAAAAGAUAGCCACAAUGCUUAUUUAUAAUGCUCAACUUAAAAUGUACCACAAUCCUAAUAUAUUUAGGAUUCAUACUUUAAUUAAUAUCUAAAUCUAUCUUAAUCAAUCUCUAAUAGAUUUAAAUAUUAAUCCUAAUCUAGUUAGGUUUAUCCUCUAAUUAAUAUUUAAAUCUUAAUUUAUCUCAAACAGAUUUAAAUAUUAAUUCUUAUCCAAAUAGGAUUUAACUACAAAUUUAACCAAAUCCUAACAUUCUCCACCUUAGUUUGAUUUGUAAUUUUCAACGGCUACGUCGAGCUCACCAUGCAAGCUCCACCUUGAGCUUGUCUCCUCCGCUCGAUGUCGCCGCAUCCGUCGCUCCGUCUCUAGCAACUGCACAUCCGCGAACUUUUGGAACCCAAACCGUCUUCGCUCCCGUUCUGGCUGUGCUCUCGUUCAGAACGUAUAAGUUCCCACGCUUGUUCGCCUCGCAUACGACCCGAUCUCGUUUUCGGACCCUCAUAGCUCCACCUGAAGCUGAAAUAUCGCAACCCUUCGAGUCCAAUGCGCCUAACGAGAUCAAAUUCCGCUUCAAUCCAGGAACGUGCCGCACACCUGUCAGCGUCCUCACGACCCCAUCGUGCAUUCGGAUCUUUACCGUGCCGACUCCCAAUACUUUGCACGCUGUCCCGUUCCCCAUCAGCGCCUUUCCACCUUUGAUCGCCUUAUAGGUGGCAAAAGACUCAUUCUCCCGGCAUACGUGAAAAGAACACGCCGAAUCGAGCACCCACGCGUCAUCCGAAAUUUUCGCACCUCCGGUCGCUGCAUAUAGCACAUCAGAAUCGAAGAUCUCCGACUCUGCCGUCUGUGCCGUCGCUGAUACCGUCUCGUCCUCGUUCACAACAGUUUUCUCCUUCUGUCACUUUAACUCCUUCAGAUUAUCCUGAAGUUUUCGACAAUUGCGCUUUAUAUGCCCUUUCCUCUGACAGUAAAAGCACUCCACCUCAUAUAGCGGCUUAUUCUGUCGAUCUCCAGUCGUCGAUAUUCUCUCCUCAUUCUUCGCAGUCACCACCAGUCCUACAUCCUGACUUUGCGUGCCGGACUCCUGAGUCAUCUUCCGCAUCUCGUUUGAGAGAAGCGCCGCCAUAACCGCCUCCACGCUUAUGGACUCCUUGCCAUAAAGCAACGUGGUCACCAUAUGCUCAUAUGUCGUCGGUAGCGAAGAUAGUAGGAUCAACGCCUUAUCUUCGUCAUCCAGAUUGACUCCGAUGCUGGUCAACUGGGCCACCGCCUUGUUGAACUCAUUUAGAUGAUCAUGUAGGCUCGCCGCUUCUUGCAUCCGCAACGUAAACAGUCGCUGCUUCAGAUACAAUCUGUUCAUCAGGGAUUUGAUCAUGUACAGAUCUUCCAAUUUCUUUCAUAAUUUCGCCGGUGUCGUCUCGCCGGCUACAUUGUAAAGAACCUCAUCUGCUAAUGAUAGAUGAAGCGUACUCAGCGCCUUCCGCUCCAUCUUCGUCCAUGCCGCAUCCGUGACCUCCGCCGGCUUUGCUUCAUUCCCGUUCAACGUCUCGUCUAACUCUUGCUGUACGAGGAUUGCUCGUAUUUUAAUUUGCCAUAAUCCGAAAUUGUUCUUGCCGUCGAACUUCUCGAUUUUGAAUUUCGUGGCCAUCUCCGUCGAUCUCUCCCGCAGAUCGGUAACCUUCGGCUCUGAUACCACUUGUUGGGAAUCCGGUACUCGCCCCGGUACCGAAUCUCGUGAAUCCGCAACCCGCUUCGAUACCGACUGCUGUGGAUUUGGUACCGAUUGUUGGGAUUCCGCAACGGAAACGUCAAAUCGGGUUUAAAAACUGAUACAAUCAUAAAAGAGAAAAAUAUGCAGGUAAAAUAAGAUUCAUUAAAUAAGAGAAGAUUACACCUGACUCCUCUUCUGCACAGAGUAGCUACAACCCGAGCCCUCUUUCUUGAAUCUCUUUUACCCUUCUCUCGUCUUCUAUAAACCCACAAAGAAGACCUCUCCGCGUGUGCACUAAAAUAACUCUCUCUCUCUUUUUCUCUCUCUGGUACGACACCCCAAUGGUUCCAGCCGUACUAUUCAAAAAAAGAUAGCCACAAUGCCUAUUUAUAAUGCUCAACUUAAAACAUACCACAAUCCUAAUAUAUUUAGGAUUCAAACUUUAAUUAAUAUCUAAAUCUAUCUUAAUCAAUCUCUAAUAGAUUUAUUUAAAUAUUAAUCCUAAUCGAGUUAGGUUUAUCCUCUAAUUAAUAUUUAAAUCUUAAUUUAUCUUAAACAGAUUUAAAUAUUAAUUUUUAUCUAAAUAGGAUUUAACUAGCUACAAAUCUAACCAAAUCCUAACAUAUAUAUAUAUAUAUAUAUAUAUAUAUAUAAAAAGGAAGGUUGAAUAGUACUUUUUUCUAUAAUAAUUAAAUAAUAAUAAUGACGAAGAAAUCUAAUGUGGUUUACUAAGUCAAAUUUCCGUGGCGCGCAACGACUUGGAACGGCCGUGUGGGGUCCACAAUGGCCUACAGGGCCCCACAACGCAAAUGAGAUCAAGGAGUAACAAAUUUGCCCAUUAGCUACGGUGAGUAUAUAUAUAAAAUUAUAUUACUAUAUACUAUCGAUGAAAGAAUAUAUCCUUAGAAUAAUAAUGAUUCUCAAUUAGAAUAAUAAUAUUUAUAGGGUUGAGUGGGUGGUUUGUUGAAUAGUAUAAUCUAACGGCUGAAAAAAAUUAAAAGAUAAAUCUAACGGCAGAAAACUCGAUAGUACAAAUAGUUCGAUACUAUCGUAAGUGAACUUUCUUUUUCUCUCUCUAUAUAUAUACAUAUAUAUAUUUUCCAAACAUCAUAUUGUUGGAAAAUUAUAGGGUUUGUAUAAGAGAACAAUCUAAACUUUUGUUUAAUUAUUAAAACUCGAUUCAGUAAAAUUGCUACUCAUGAAUUUUUAUAAAAGAAAAAAAACUUAAAUUUAAGAAAAUUCUUAAGGUUAGGAACUGUCUUAAAAUUAUUUGACAAACUAGGGACUUCUGCGAAAACUAACUCAAAACAGAAGAUUGUUUAAUGAAACGGGUCAGUAUAAGCUCGCGCCCGUACCCGCUAUGCGGAGAAUUUUUGAGCCAUCUCCACCGUCCAUACCCAUCAUUCAAAUAGAUCACCGCCCUUCCUUAAAGGACGGUGGAGAUUGAAAUCUCAGUGAUCGAACGGUAGAUCGCCCGUCUCCUACGGUUCGACUCCAAACCCUGCUUUCGCUCUCUCUCUCUCUCUCUCUCUCUCGCGCGCGCGCGCGCCACCACCACCACCUCCGCCGCCGCCGCCGCCGCCGCCGCCGGAAACUUGAGGAAGAGGUAGUCUCUCUCUCUCUCUCUCUCUCUCUCUCUCUCUCUCUCUAAGACACCUACUCUUGUGCUACAAUUAUUACCAGCGAUUCUAAAACUGUUGCGCGGUGAAUUGCGUGGAUUUAGAUCUCGUAGUAUAGCAAAUACAUCUUCUAUUUUUUUGUUUAAAUCUCCAAUUAAUCUUAGACCUGUUUUCGAUGAAGAGUUGUGUUUGAGUAGUGCUGUUAGGAGAAGCGAAAUCUCCCAAUAGCUUCUCUUCGUAGCAAAAUCAAAGGCUUGGAAUUGGAGCUUCUGCUUUGGGGCUUAAAAAUAUUAUCUUUUUUUCUACUCUCCGUCGCAGCAGAAGUUUCGUACUUUUCAUAACUUUUUGUUGUCGAAGUACUCUGUAGAGGUGAUUGUAUCUCAAAAAUAAGGUAAGGCCAAACAAUGAUGAGGUGUUGUUUUGGUAGUGCUAUUAGGAGACGCACUUUAUUUAAUUCCACUAAACAGCUUCUCUGUACAGCAGAUUUAGGCUAAAUUUGGUAAUGUGACGGCUAAAAUCACUAUUUUUAUAUUAUAGAAGAACUAAACAUUUCAAAAGCACAUUAAAUUUCCUUUUUUAUACUUUAAAAUUGCAGUCGUAAUCACCACUGAAGAAGCAUAAGCAUGUGUUUACAUGCUUCUCUAGUGAUGGUUGCAACCAUAAUUUUAAAGGAUUAGAGGAGGAAAUAUUGUAAGCGCUUUUAGAUUUUUUGAACUUUCUGUAGUAUAAAAAUGAUACUUGUAGCCACCAUAUUACCAAACUAAACCUUACAAUCCCAGACCUUUUGCUUUUGGACCUUUAAAGCACAGUUCUGCUUUUCCGUUAAGUAGAAGUUCCCGACUUUUUCGAUUGGCAAACACUUUAUAAGAUUAGUAGAAGUGGUUGCAGCUGAAACCAGAAGCAAAAGAUGGGCCAAAAAAGUCCUAAGUGGAUCAUCAUGAUCUGUAUGCUUUCCUUUCUUUUUUCCUUUAUUUGGUUAACUCUCUUUAUAUCUCUCUCUUAUUAUGACUCACUUCCUCUAACCAUAAGCGCUCUAUUGUUUCUUUUGUUCAACCUUCUAAAUAUUUUUCUAGUUAUUAAAAUUCUUUUUGGGGAGUUUCUGAAGUUGAAAUAUUUUGUUUUUGAAAUGUACUGUAGUAGACAAAAGUUCCUUGUUUGAGAGCAUAACCAAAAUAAAUGUAAUGUCUUGGGAGAUCCUUCACAUACCCGGGAAGCCUCCUUCCUCCCUCGAACACUCUACAGGUAUUUCUUCCUUCUCCCUCCUCUAAUUUUUUGAUCCUUUAUUGUAGUUCUUUAUUAGGGUGUUUUAUUUGAUUAAGUUACUUCUUGUAGUCAAUGCAGUAGCUGCAACAAUCGAGCCAAAACUUGCCAAUACACUUGUGAGGUGAAAGCCUGCUUUCUAUUUCUUUUGUUGCUUUUUAAUUUGCUAAUGUGUUGUGGUUGGGCGCACUGAUUGUUGGCAUUUUCUUUUCAUGGGUUCUUUUGUGAUGGGUACUGAGUUAUUUUUUUUCUUUUUGUUAAUUAGGCAGUUGAAUCAGAUAUGCCCGCUCGAGGAUCUUCGCCAUGUGAAGCGAGUGCGGAGGAUUAACUCCGAAGGUGAGGUACUCUAGAGAAAAUAUAUAUAGUUGGUUAGUGCUUUUUGUUUACAAAUACUCUUGUUGCCUUUUUUCUGCUAGUUCAGUGGUAUAACUUCUAUCGAAGUUUUCCAUGCCAUAGCAUCGGCCAUGGUGCUGGCAUGGAUCAAUCUGCAAGCUGUUUAGAGGAGCACUUAGUUCAAAAUAGGAUUGACUGGUGAAAGAGGAUUCACUUUUUUUGAUACAUCUAACUUCUUUUAGAAAUUCAUAUGGCUGGUUCACUCUUGUCAUGGUAUUAAGGCUGCAAUUUUAUAGGCUCAAUCUUGUUGAUAUAUCAUAUAUGUAUGUACAAAUUUAGUUUAACCUUAUUUAGUGAUUAGCUAUUGGGAAUAACAAAGUCAAUGAAUCUUCUACUUCUUACGGAUCUAUGUGGAUGCAAUUUAGUCAAUUAAGUACCCCACUCAUGCUUUGGCAUUCGUUGACUCAUUUUACAGGGAAAGUUGAGUUAUCGGUUAUCUUAUGUAUUUCCCGAGAAAAUGAAAAUGUUUUGGAGGUCGUACCGAGUGAUGUACUUGAGGUUGUUAACACCUAUCAAUUAAGACCUUUCACUGUGAAAGUAAGCAAUCCUUCUUUCUUCUUUAGCUUUUCUUUAGUUUUUUUCUUUAAUAUAAUCUUUUGGAGUUAAAACUGGACCAGCACGAAAGGAACUUUAUUCCUAUCAAUAACUAGGAUUGUACUUGGGGAUCUAUACCUUUGGUCAUGAUCUAAAACUAUUAAAAUAUGUAUGGAACACCUUUAACAUACCUAUGUAUAUUAAAGAUCUGACUUCUGGAAUUACUUACCUGGUUACUGAAGGACAGAAAAGAUCAUUUUAUUGCAAUGAUCUGACUACAGUUUUUGGUAGUCGGUGAAUCUUGUUUAUAUUAGUCUUUUAUCCAAGGUCAAUUGGAUUUAAAUUUGCAAAUUAUUACAAUUUGUCAUGCUAGAAAUUGCUUCCAGGUUGCCAAGUAUGCUGCUAUGUCAAAAGAAGAAUGGGAAGAACAAUGCAAGCUUUGGCCAACAUCAUACCAUCCACCAAACAAGUAUGACUUCACCAUUUAUGUAUAUAUUAGCUUUGAUCUAUUAUAAAACUACAUUUAUAUAUAACAUCUUUGAUGUAUUAUAGAUCCUUCAUCUUGCUGCUAAAUUAGUUAGUCUUUUCUGUUUACAGAAGUUAGAUGUUCAAUUCCCUAAUUCAUUGUUAUUAUCAUCAUAUUUUGAGCAGCCAUUUAAUAUUUGUCUAAUGGUCCUUGAUUUACUCUCAUGUAACAGUCUAGAUAGAGUUUCUGGAUUUAGUGUGGAGGAUUCACAAUCUAUCUGCAAUUACAUGAAGAUUGCUAUUCAACUGACAAGGUUGAGCAAUCCUAGUGAUAAGGCAUGUUUAUGUAAUGGUUCUUACUUCUUUUACACUCACCAAUAUAAGUACUGUCGAUCAGUCAUCAGAUUCUUGUUUUAUUUCCAAACUAUACGAACAUUAGAGUGCUGAUUUUCUUAUGCAUUUUUUGGGGGUAAAUUACAAUCAAUAGCCCUUGCAAUGAAUUGUCCCGGAACUCCUUGGUGAGUCCACUUUUCAACCUUAAAAUUUUUGCAUUUGACUGGAAGCCCAUUCCAUCAAAAACCAGUACUAAGAAUGAGAGAAUUGUCACUCACAUUCAUGAAUGAAUGAUACUUGAACAUGUUUGUUGAAUUGAAGGACAACACCAAUGAGCUUCCCUUGUGCCCUCAAAUAUGAAUGCAUAUAUAUAUAUAUAUAUAUAUAUAUAUAUAUAUAUAUAUAUGUUGUGUGUUCAGCUGGGUUUUUUUAUUUAUUUUGGUGUGUGUCUCAGGUUGUAAAUGCUGCUGUUAUAGUUGACUCAUCGAGUAGUGAAAUUAUAGCCAAGGCUACUGAUCAAACUGGCCUACCUCCUACAUCCUUGCUUAAAAUCUGCUCAAAUCAUCUAACUGUUGCUGGAGAAGCACAUUCGGCUUCUUCGAUGGCUGAGGAAAAUGGGUUAGCAAAACAAGAAGCGCUUUGCCCUCCAAGGAACUGGCUUUCUCCUUGCACU